GAAAUGCGAUAAGUAAUGCGAAUUGCAGAAUUCAGUGAAUCAUCGAAUCUUUGAACGCACAUUGCGCCCGCCAGUAUUCUGGCGGGCAUGCCUGUUCGAGCGUCAUUUCAACCAUCAAGCCCCCGGCUUGUGUUGGGGACCUGCGGCUGCCCGCAGGCCCUGAAAAACAGUGGCGGGCUCGCUGUCACACCGAGCGUAGUAGCAUACAUUCUCGCUCAGGGCGUGCUGCGGGUUCCGGCCGUUAAACGACCUUCAUAACCCAAGGUUGACCUCGGAUCAGGUAGGAAGACCCGCUGAACUUAAGC
rnacentral:misc_RNA from 1 species